UUAAAUCAGUCAGUUACACAUGAAGGCUCUUUGAGGCUUUUGUUCAUUCUUCAUUCUUCAACUAUGCUGAGAUUAGCAGUUGAUUCACUGACACUGCAGGGAUUCUACUAUUCCAGUUGUUCAAGCUGUUACCCAUGGACUGCCUGUACAAAUGGAUUCCACAAGUGUAUUCCAGUAGAUGAAGCUUCAUAAAGAUGUAUUCUACAGCACUGUGCACAGUUUUAUUCAAUACUUUAUCCACAGAAGUUCAAUUAGCACCAUCAGCUAAAACCACACAAAAUCAAACCAUGUCUUUUGUUGCUUCAAGACCCAUGGUUUCAGAGUAAUUUAAGAAAGCUGCUAAUGGGAUCAAAGGAAAUCCUUAUCCUUAAUCUGUGUCACACACUCAUGAAUAAGAGAAUAUGGUGAUUCCUUUUUGUUGCCAAGACACCAAUGUUGCUGUGGUAACCACACUUACAUGAAACAAACUACUCACCUGCACAAUGAUGCCCUUGCUCUUGUAUUCUGCAUUGAGGCCUCGGGAGAAGUAAUCCACAAAAGCCUGCAGAGAGAAGAAGGGAAACAUGCAGCAUGCUACAGUAUGAAUAAAAUAGUGUGCAUCAAUUCCCUUCUGGGAAUACGAAGAUAUUACUGAAAGUCUAGAGGAAAUAUGUGUCUGCUCUGACAUGAAUGACACUACUGAAAGUUUCUUCAUCCUGUCAAGGUUCUGCUUAGACUCUGAGAUGUUUGAAAUAUUCAAGGUAAUUACCAGCUUCUACUAUUGGAAAAAGUCAAGACAGAAACUCUGUACUUUUAGUUCAUGGAAGCACCACUAGAUGGACACCAAAACAUUUAUUCCUGCUUCUUGAACAUUUAUCCUCAGAAUCCCUGAAGUAGCCAUGCAGUUAGAGAAGUAAGAGCAAAGAUGAUGUGUGCUCAAGGGCAGUCAGAACCAGAAGUCAGCAGGAUCCUGGUGUGCUGCCUUUCGUUCAAGUCAUCUUACCCACAUGGAUGUGGAACAGAAAAACCUAUACAGGAUAUUCUAUAAGUAGAGUAUGCACCAUUCUGUGCUGAGAAACUGAAGAGAUAACUCUGCCAAAUGAAUAGCUACAAUAUUUCUUUGAAGAAAGAAGAAACUGAGGCAAGAAACUUAGGAGUUUAUAAGUUCCAAAACCUAAUAAUAAAGCAACAUUAAAUCCCCUCAAAAGCAUAAAUGUUUUGGUCAUGUUGGCACCUUCAGAGGACAGUGGUUUCACAAAAAACAAGUCCCUUUAUCUAUCAAUAACAGUACAAGGACAAGGAGUAGCUUCUGACUUAGAAGCCCUAAGUAUGUAUCACCCCUGUACUAUAAUAAACCUCACCCUCUACUCCAGCUUCAUUGGGAAAUAUGACACUCUCUACCCAGAGCUCAGUUUUGGGUCUUUAUUUCUAAUUCAAAUCUCUUUACAUGAAAUAAACUUAUUCAUAUCUCCUGAUUGGCUAUGUAAAAUUCUUAGCUCACCAUCAUCCUGAUGUGCCAGACACUGACUUCCAUACUGACUGCUAGCUCUGACAGUUUGCACCCAGGAAGAAGCUUUGUUUUAAAAGUGAAACAUCUGUGCAUCUGUGCAACACUUGAAAAACUGAAUUCUGGUCUGCAACGAAGACUCUCAGACAGUGGGAUGACACAAAAUAAACAUUUUUUUUUUUCAUCAUCUUUGCUAGACUUGGAGGCUUGCCCCAUACAGAGACUCCUCCUGCUGUGUUCAUUUGCAUGGUUCUACAGAGUUUUCCCCAGUACUGUGAACAUGGCUCAAGGCUGAUCCAGGGCAACCCCCAGCAAGGGAGGGUUAGCACCCCAAGAGAGAUGGCAAACAGCCAGCAGAGCCAACGUCAGCUGGAAAACAGCCUGGGGGAGACUAAAUGGAAAUCGUGAACCUUUUGGUUUCACCUGGGAGCCAGCUGGGAAGCCAGUACAUGUCUUCCCUGUUGACAGUGGUGUGUUAUUCUAAAGACCUGGUCUCCAAUUGCAUUUUUCCAAAUGAUCACAGCCUUUCCUCAAUAUACCUCCUACUGUAUAAUGAGAACACAUUCUUUGCAUCCAUUUUACUUACAAUGACUUAGAGAAAUAGCCUUAAGAAGGUUAUUCCCAGGAACUGUAACCACCCCCUCAGAAUAGCAGGUUGUUGAGUUAGUGCUGAUGAGUCAGACGGGCUUUUUAAUUCUGUUCUAAAAGGAAUCACCACAACAGUGGAGAAGGGAGAGGAAAAAUAAAAAGGGAAUCGAGUGGAAAAGGCUUCCACCGUCUGAUGAUUCAUGCACCAUCAGCGUGACUCACCCAGCAUUACUCUGCCAUUAAAACAUGGAGACUAGGCUGAUUAGUCACAGUAAUGAAUUUUUCAAGAAAGGAUUCUCCCCUAUAAAUAAUGAUGACUUUG